CACCACCAAGAGAGGCUGCGUUUCUUGCCUGCUAAGGAGGGAAAGCUUUUGGAGAAGUCCCAUAACCCUUUGCUGUUGAGGCAGCUCUGGAAGGAGAGAUACCUCCCCCCACCCACCGUGCAGGGCCAAGCCGGCUUCCUCCAGGUGGUGGAGAGACCUCUGUGUUCGCGUGGUUUGGGGACAGGCCCCAGGGAUGCCUCGGCCACCUCCUGCUAGGCCCUCAAAGAGUGCAUUACAGACACACCUCAUCGGGGCCAUCGGGCACCCCCUGCUUUCAUGCACCACCCAGGUGGUACCUGUGCCCGCGCAGGCCCUGUUUCUGCAUUGCUGCUAACUAGCUGGUGACCUUGGGCAAGGACUCAGAGCCUGAGUCCCUCCCCCACACACCCUGCAGAAGUUUAUCCAGCCGCAGGAGCUAGGCGUCUAGGACACACUCAAGGGAAUGGCUAAACCUUCCCACUCCUUAUGGUUCCUUCCCACCAAGAAACUCCUGGAUCCUGGAAGGCACUGGCUGUUCCACUCUCUACCAUCCUUCCUUCAUCUGAUCACUUUCUGUGCCGUCAUUUAUACAUAGCAUUUAGUGUUAUCUGACAUUUUAUUAUUUAUUGUCAAUCUUCUCUCACUGCCACAUCAUCUACAUAAGAACUGGGGUUUUUGUCCAUCUUUUAUCCCCCCCUGCACCUAAAACAACCUGGAACAUAGUAAGUGUUCAAUAAAUAUUAGUUGCAUCAACAAA